UACGGAGGGGGCUAGCGUUGUUCGGAAUUACUGGGCGUAAAGCGCACGUAGGCGGCUUUGUAAGUUAGAGGUGAAAGCCCGGGGCUCAACUCCGGAAUUGCCUUUAAGACUGCAUCGCUCGAAUUGUGGAGAGGUAAGUGGAAUUCCGAGUGUAGAGGUGAAAUUCGUAGAUAUUCGCAAGAACACCAGUGGCGAAGGCGGCUCACUGGCCCGGUACUGACGCUGAGGUGCGAAAAGCGUGGGGAGCAAACAGG
rnacentral:rRNA from 1 species